AACUCUAGUCUCUACAAUUCACUUCAGCCGCCUCACGCCCUCACCCUCAUUCUUUUCUUUUCUUCUCUACACAGACGCUUAGAUCCAAUUGCCUCAUCCUUGCCGCCGAUCCAAAUAAAAAAAAAAAAAAAAAAUCCAACAAUGUAAAUAUAUAUAUUGAAAAAGCUGAAGCGUUUGAGAAUGAGAGUCUAGAGGAAGAUGCGGUUGAGUUUGGAGCAAACGAGAAUGAAGGAGCGGUUGUUGAAGCUGAAGAAGAAGAAGAAGAAUCGGCGAAGAGAUUUGAAGAGGCGGAGUGGAAUGGGGAUGAGGUUGAACUUGUUGUGGAUAGGGAUGUGGCGAACGGGGAUAGAGAUGGAGUUGAUCCAAACAGGGGGGAAGUGGUGGUGGCGCUGGUGGUUGAAGAUCCGAAGAUAGGUGAAGCGGCGGAAGGAAUGUUAAUUUUGGUAUGAAGGACAAUGGGACAUGCUAUACAAUCAGACAUUCAAUCUUGAUCAAGUUUCCUUUGCUGCCGAGGGUAUUAAAGAUGCUCAGCAAACAAUAGCUCCAAUUUAUUUGGCAUCAUGCAUAAAGCAGGGAAUGGGUUUGCUAGAGAUUUUAUUGAGCAAGCAACCUGUUCAAAAUAAUCAAGUACUGCUUAAGGCUCACAUUAGGAGUCAACUGGUGUGGUGGAGUCAACUGAUUUUCCAUAGAAGUUAUUUUACUGAUUUUGGUGGGGACUACGAAAUCUGGCACUUUUCUUCAAUUACAACACCUUGUUGGGACCACUUUAUCGGGUUUUGGUAGAUACCAACUUCAUCAAUUUCUCUAUCCAGAAUAAAGUGAGUGAUUAGUAGUUUUAUUCCAUUUUAUUUUAAAUGGGUUUGGUUCAUAAAAAUGCAUAGUUUGAGAGAAAUUUUUAUUGUUCAUGACUUACUGAAUGUGUGUAAUUACCAAUUGAGAAGGAAAAAAAAUCUAAGAAUGAGAUAGAAAUCCUUAUUCAAUUCUAGAGCUUGUUCUCUUCCCAUUAAUGCAUUGAAGGAUAUGUUCUGGAAGCAUGGAUAAAAAUAAUAACAUUAUGUAUUUUGACUUGGUAACUUUGCAUUAUAAUCCUAACUUAUGCAAUUUCUUUCAUUGUUGUGUAGCUGGACUAGGAGAAGGGAAUGAUGGACUGCCUAUAUGCAAAAUGUGAGUUUAGAAUCAUUGGUUUCUUCAAUUUAACGUGAAUAUUAAUUUGCUGCAAGAAUUGUUGUGCCGUGUUGAUGAUGUAUCCUAAGUUCAACACAGUUGUUAAUGUGGUUUUGUAACAGGCAUUGAGUGCCAUGUAUCAUUGGCAAACACUUAAAUAUGUGUUGGUUGCUUAAUGAUAUUUAUGAAAAUAUUACUCUUGGUUGUGUGGAUGUCCAUAAGAAUGCUUAAGGAAUAAAAUGAGGAUCUUUUUUUAAA